UACGAAGGGGGCUAGCGUUGCUCGGAAUCACUGGGCGUAAAGCGCACGUAGGCGGCUUUUUAAGUCAGGGGUGAAAUCCUGGAGCUCAACUCCAGAACUGCCUUUGAUACUGAGAAGCUUGAGUCCGGGAGAGGUGAGUGGAACUGCGAGUGUAGAGGUGAAAUUCGUAGAUAUCAAGAGGAACACCUGAGGUGAAGACGGGUUGCUGGGCUGAUACUGACGCUGAGGCGCGAAAGCUAGGGUAGCAAACGGG
rnacentral:rRNA from 1 species